GGAAUUUUGGACAAUGGGCGCAAGCCUGAUCCAGCAAUGCCGCGUGAGUGAAGAAGGCCUUCGGGUUGUAAAGCUCUUUUGUCAGGGAAGAAACGGUGGACUCUAAUACAGAUCACUAAUGACGGUACCUGAAGAAUAAGCACCGGCUAACUACGUGCCAGCAGCCGCGGUAAUACGUAGGGUGCAAGCGUUAAUCGGAAUUACUGGGCGUAAAGCGUGCGCAGGCGGUUUGGUAAGACAGAUGUGAAAUCCCCGGGCUCAACCUGGGAAUUGCAUUUGUGACUGCCCGACUGGAGUGUGUCAGAGGGGGGUAGAAUUCCACGUGUAGCAGUGAAAUGCGUAGAGAUGUGGAGGAAUACCGAUGACGAAGGCAGCCCCCUGGGAUAACACUGACGCUGAGAGACGAAAGCUAGGGGAGCGAAUGGGAUUAGAUACCCGAG
rnacentral:rRNA from 1 species